AAUUGCUAGUAAUCGCGGAUCAGCAUGCCGCGGUGAAUACGUUCCCGGGCCUUGUACACACCGCCCGUCACACCAUGGGAGCCGGUAAUACCCGAAGUCAGUAGUCCAACCACGUGAGGACGCUGCCGAAGGUAGGAUUGGCGACUGGGGUGAAGUCGUAACAAGGUAAC
rnacentral:rRNA from 1 species